GCGUUCGUGGUGUAAUGGUUAGCAUGGGUGCCUUCCAAGUAUUCAACGGGGGUUCUAUUCCCCCGAACGCA
rnacentral:tRNA from 1 species